CAGUGACGAGCGAAGAAGGCGAAGCUUUAGCAGCUCUUGAGAGCAUUCAUGUUUGUGUGGAUCGGGGUUUUAGAGACAUCAUUCUCCAUACUGAUUGCCAGAACCUCUUUUGGCGACUUCACAACCGUACCUUGGAUCCCUCUUAUAUUGGUGAUACUACUGCCACAAUCCUACGAGUUUCUGAUACUUUUACCAAUUGCGAGUUUAGGUGGACGCCCCGGGAAGAAAACGCUUUAGCCGAUCGUCUUGCAAAGUUUGCUCUUUCUUCUCAUGCUUCCCCUGUUUUCCUUGAUUCCUUUCCUGAUGUACCAAACUCCUUUGUGACGGCGUAAUUCAAGUUACCUUUCUUUCUCAAAAAAAAAAAAAUUAUAAUAUCUUCUUUAGUUUGGCAUAAAUGAAAAUGCUAAGUCAAAAUGAUAACCUAUCCAUUAAAAUAGAUAUAAGUCCGCCCACAAAAAGAUUGACUAUUAUUUCUCGAGUGUAAUACAAUAUUAGAACAUGCAUUGGA
rnacentral:lncRNA from 1 species